GGAACCAGCGGAGGGAUCAUUACCGAGUUUACAACUCCCAAACCCAAUGUGAACGUUACCAAACUGUUGCCUCGGCGGGAUCUCUGCCCCGGGUGCGUCGCAGCCCCGGACCAAGGCGCCCGCCGGAGGACCAACCAAAACUCUUAUUGUAUACCCCCUCGCGGGUUUUUUUUAUAAUAUGAGCCUUCUCGGCGCCUCUGGUAGGCGUUUCGAAAAUGAAUCAAAACUUUCAACAACGGAUCUCUUGGUUCGGGCAUCGAUGAAGAACGCAGCGAAAUGCGAUAAGUAAUGUGAAUUGCAGAAUUCAGUGAAUCAUCGAAUCUUUGAACGCACAUUGCGCCCGCCAGUAUUCUGGCGGGCAUGCCUGUCCGAGCGUCAUUUCAACCCUCGAACCCCUCCGGGGGGUCGGCGUUGGGGAUCGGCCCUGCCUUGGCGGUGGCCGUCUCCGAAAUACAGUGGCGGUCUCGCCGCAGCCUCUCCUGCGCAGUAGUUUGCACACUCGCAUCGGGAGCGCGGCGCGUCCACAGCCGUUAAACACCCAACUUCUGAAAUGUUGACCUCGGAUCAGGUAGGAAUACCCGCUGAACUUAAGCAUAUCAA
rnacentral:rRNA from 1 species